UACGGGGGGAGCAAGCGUUGUUCGGAUUUACUGGGCGUAAAGGGCGCGUAGGCGGCGCAACAAGUCACUUGUGAAAUCUCCGGGCUUAACUCGGAACGGUCAAGUGAUACUGUUGUGCUAGAGUGCGGAAGGGGCAACUGGAAUUCUCGGUGUAGCGGUGAAAUGCGUAGAUAUCGAGAGGAACACCUGCGGCGAAGGCGGGUUGCUGGGCUGACACUGACGCUGAUGCGCGAAAGCCAGGGGAGCGAACAGG
rnacentral:rRNA from 1 species